UACGGGGGGGGCAAGCGUUGUUCGGAAUUACUGGGCGUAAAGGGCGCGUAGGCGGUCCGCUAAGUUGGAUGUGAAAACUCUGGGCUUAACCCAGAGCCUGCAUUCAAAACUGACGGGCUAGAGUUCUGGAGGGGGUAGCGGAAUUCCUGGUGUAGCGGUGAAAUGCGUAGAUAUCAGGAGGAACACCGGUGGCGAAGGCGGCUACCUGGACAGAAACUGACGCUGAGGCGCGACAGCGUGGGGAGCAAACAGG
rnacentral:rRNA from 1 species